rnacentral:rRNA from 1 species
UUGAACGCUGGCGGCAGGCCUCACACAUGCAAGUCGAACGGUAACAGGAAACAGCUUGCUGUUUCGCUGACGAGUGGCGGAGGGGUGAGUAAUGUCUGGGAAACUGCCUGAUGGAGGGGGAUAACUACUGGAAACGGUAGCUAAUACCGCAUAACGUCGCAAGAGCAAAGAGGGGGGCCCUCGGGCCUCUUGCCAUCGGAUGUGCCCAGAUGGGAGUAGGUUGGUGGUUGGGCAACGGCUAACCAAGGCGGCGGUCCCUAGCUGGUCUGGGUGGGUGACCAGCCACACUGAGACUGGGAGACGGUCCAGGCUCCGACGGAAGGCAGCGGUGGGUAAUAUUGCACAAUGGGCGCAAGCCUGAUGCAGCCAUGCCGCGUGUAUGAAGAAGGCCUUCGGGUUGUAAAGUACUUUCAGCGGGGAGGAAGGGAGUAAAGUUAAUACCUUUGCUCAUUGACGUUACCCGCAGAAGAAGCACCGGCUAACUCCGUG